rnacentral:misc_RNA from 1 species
AAGUCGUAACAAGGUUUCCGUUGGUGAACCAGCGGAAGGAUCAUUACUGAGAUCAUGCCCUCACGGGUAGACCUCCCACCCUGUGUAUUAUACCUUUGUUGCUUUGGCAGGCCCGCCCCCCGGGGCACUCGGCUCCGGCUGAGCAGCGCCUGCCAGAGGACCCCAACCCUAAUGUUUACGUGUCGUCUGAGUACUAUAUAAUAAGUUAAAACUUUCAACAACGGAUCUCUUGGUUCUG